ACGCUGGCGGCGUGCCUAAUACAUGCAAGUAGGACGCACAGUUUAUACCGUAGCUUGCUACACCAUAGACUGUGAGUUGCGAACGGGUGAGCAACGCGUAGGUAACCUGCCUAUUAGAGGGGGAUAACUAUUGGAAACGAUAGCUAAUACCGCAUAACAGUAUGUAACACAUGUUAGAUGCUUGAAAGAUGCAAUUGCAUCGCUAGUAGAUGGACCUGCGUUGUAUUAGCUAGUAGGUAGGGUAAUGGCCUACCUAGGCGACGAUACAUAGCCGACCUGAGAGGGUGAUCGGCCACACUGGGACUGAGACACGGCCCAGACUCCUACGGGAGGCAGCAGUAGGGAAUCUUCGGCAAUGGGGGGAACCCUGACCGAGCAACGCCGCGUGAGUGAAGAAGGUUUUCGGAUCGUAAAGCUCUGUUGUUAAGGAAGAACGAGUGUGAAAAUGGAAAGUUCAUACUGUGACGGUACUUAACCAGAAAGGGACGGCUAACUACGUGCCAGCAGCCGCGGUAAUACGUAGGUCCCGAGCGUUGUCCGGAUUUAUUGGGCGUAAAGCGAGCGCAGGCGGUUAGAAAAGUCUGAAGUGAAAGGCAGUGGCUCAACCAUUGUAGGCUUUGGAAACUGUUUAACUUGAGUGCAGAAGGGGAGAGUGGAAUUCCAUGUGUAGCGGUGAAAUGCGUAGAUAUAUGGAGGAACACCGGUGGCGAAAGCGGCUCUCUGGUCUGUAACUGACGCUGAGGCUCGAAAGCGUGGGGAGCGAACAGGAUUAGAUACCCUGGUAGUCCACGCCGUAAACGAUGAGUGCUAGGUGUUAGGUCCUUUCCGGGACUUAGUGCCGCAGCUAACGCAUUAAGCACUCCGCCUGGGGAGUACGACCGCAAGGUUGAAACUCAAAGGAAUUGACGGG
rnacentral:rRNA from 1 species